rnacentral:tRNA from 1 species
GGUAGAAUGGCUGAUAAAGGCGAUAAAUUGUAAAUUUAUUAAUGGAUUUUUCCUUCUAUC